rnacentral:tRNA from 1 species
GAGGGUAUAGCUCAAAUGGUAGAGCACUUGCUUAGCGUGCACAAGGUCCUGGGUUCAAUCCCCAGUACCUCCA